rnacentral:rRNA from 1 species
GUCGAUCCUAAGAGAUAGCAGAAAUCCGUUGCAAGGCGGGCAUUGGAUUCUUGGCAUCUGCCUUUUGUCUUUGCCCCUUCUAUCGAAAGGGAAUCGGGUUAAUAUUCCCGAACCAGGACGUGGAUGUUGAGUGGUAACACAAGCAAAGCCGGGGACGACGGCGGGGGCCCCGACAAGAGUUGUCUUUUCUUGUUAACAGGUGCACCGACCCUGGAAUCGGAUUGACCGGAGAUAGGGUUGGCGGCCUGGGAAAGGCGGUUACUUUUUGACCGUUUCGGUGCGCCCUCGACGUUCCUUGAAAACCUGGUGGCGUGUCUUAUUCGCACCCCUGGUCGUACUCAUCACCGCAUCAGGUCUCCAAGGUUAGCAGCCUCUAGUCGAUAGAAGAAUGUAGAUAAGGGAAGUCGGCAAACUAGAUCCGUAACUUCGGGAAAAGGAUUGGCUCUGAGGGUUGGGCCUAGGGGUCUCUUGGUUGAUAGUUGCGACUGCUAGUUGGGGCUGCGGGCAACUGCGGCUCUUACAGGCGGUCCUUCAGUAGACCUUGAGAAAGUCACUAUGGCGAUGAACAACCAGCUCAGAACUGGAGCGGACAAGGGGAAUCCGACUGU